rnacentral:misc_RNA from 1 species
GAUGAAGAACGUAGCGAAAUGCGAUAAGUAAUGUGAAUUGCAGAAUUCAGUGAAUCAUCGAAUCUUUGAACGCAUCUUGCGCUCCUUGGUAUUCUGAGGAGCAUGCCUGUUUGAGUGUCAUUAAAUUCUCAACUACACUGACUUUGAAUUGGUGUGGCUUGGAUUUGGGGGGAAAAUUGUUGUGGGCUUUUUGUAUAGUCUGCUCCCCUGAAAUUGAUUAGCGGUACCUUUGUGGAACUGUCUACAUGUGUGAUAAUUAUCUACAUCUUAGACAUCUGCUGGAAUGCUGCUUUCUAAACCUUACUUGUAUUGACAAUCUUGACCUCAAAUCAGGUAGGACUACCCGCUGAACUUAAGCAUAUCAAUAAGCGGAGGA